CUGUGGAGUAUUCUAGAUACUCUUUACUACAUCAGUAAAUGCUGGGGAAAAUGGGAAGCUUGGAUGGGGAGAGCCAAGCAGAAUGUUCAUUGAAAUGUUCAAGACUGGAAUGAAGAUGAUGGUGGAAAAGUCAACAACACCAUAUAGGUGCAAUGUGAAAACAGCAGCAAUUUCAAUCCUUGAGAAAUGUGUGUUCAGGUGAAUUGAUAAACAGUAGCACGCUCCCAUUUCAGCUAGUUUGUUGUCUAGAAUGUAACAGCGACUGGUGAUGUUAAAUGUACUGGUAUCACUUGAAGAAGCCCAUUUAACACAGACCAAAGUGUAAGUGGUUCAUUGAGCUAAAAAAAAAAAAA